GUUACACAUUUGUUUCUUCCCUUAAUACUAUUAAAAUAUAAUCUAGUGUAGUUCUAUUACCCCUGUCUCCUGCUGAGAGUGUCAAUCAUGUUUUCAGUGCGUGUUACACUUGACAACUGCAUAUCCCUGUUCGGAAAGAACAGAUUUGCUUCCCAUAACCAGUUAAAAGUCCCUAACACUUUAUAUUACCUGUAGACUAUGGCAGAACUAAAGUAGAGGGGGCCCUGGAGCAAGACUUAGUUUUGGGGCCUGCUUUUGCAAGGAUGAAAAAAAUGGUAGAUCCUUGUCUGUCAUAGAACUUUCGCAGUGCUUUUCUAGCUGGGAAUCUACCAUUUGCUCAUCCUUGCAAGGUUGUACUUGGCACUGAGCAGUGUGUAUUUGUGUGUAGUGUUGUGUAUUUUAUGUACUGUUGCUAUUUGAAAGCAGUGGAAUACUUGUGUGUAGUGUUUGCCUUUAAAUGUAGGGGUGUAUUUAUUGUUAACAUUUGAAUGCAGGGGUGUGUGUGUAGUAUUGGAGUUUGAAUGCUGAGAUGUAUACACAUAAAAACAUGCAGAUACAGACAUACCCUGUCCAACAUACAGAUAUACAAACACGCACAAACAUUAACACACAAACACAGGUGCACACACUGAUACACAUGCAGAUACAAAGACAGACUUGCAGAUGCACAAAUACAUACGACACUCUUACAAAAAACAAACAAAAAAAAACUCACUGACAAAGAUACAGAUGCACACUGACACACACAUAACACAUACACUCAAAGCAUAUUGUAUAUUUUUAGCCACCCGCCUGCUUCCAUAAAGUUUUGAUACAGGAGGUGUCCAGUGGCAUCUGGCUGAGUGUGAUGAAAGUCUGGGCCAAGCUUUCCCUCCUCUGGUCCUGGCUCUCUGACCAUAUGACCAGGUUGCCAUGAAGAACAGGACAAGGGUAUGUAGGAUAGGAAUAGGUCCCAAAAAGCCGAAUGAGCAACUCCUGAAUGGACUCCUUAAACAGUGGGUCUACAGAAAAAAAGUGAGUUUCUGUUUUUUGAAUAUUUCUAAUGCACUAGCUAGUCCUGGUUAUUUGCUAAAGUGUGGAUUUUCAGGAAUUCAGAGUAAAUUUAAAGGAUCACUAUAGGGCCAGGAACACAAACUUGUAUUCCUGACCCUAUAGUGUUAACACCACCAUCUAGCCUCCCUGAGCCCCUCAUGCCUCUAUAAAUAUAGCAAAAUCUUACAUUAUUCAUGCCUGAAGCUCUGCAUGCUGUUAGCCUCAGAAAAACAAGCAUUCUGCUGAUAUCAUCAGAAGUGGUAGCCUGAUCCCAUGGGGAAAGCAUUGGAUUGGCUAAAAUUAAAAAGGGGGCGGAGUCAAACACUGUUUUGGCCACUCAGCACCUCCUCAUAGAGAUUAAUUGAAUCAAUGCAUCUCUGAUGAAAAUUCAGCGUUCCCAUGGGCUGCUUACUGUGCAGCCCUGAGCCAGGAAGCCCCUCCAGUGGCCAUCUAAGGAGUGGCCAUUUGGAGGUGUCCCUAGGGGCAAUGUACUACCUUUUCUCUGAAAAGGCAGUGUUUGCAUAAAAAUGCCUGAAGGGAGCUAAGCUGUAAGUUGUUCUGGUGACUAUAGUGUCCCUUUAAGGAGCUGAAUCAUUAAAGCCACACCUCCCAUGCCUGUGACUUACACUACCUACAUGACAAAUAGUUUUAUUUUCAAUCAAUAAUUCAGAUGUUUUUAUCUCCUGCUCUGUUAAUUGAACUUUAGUCACACACAGGAGGCCCCUGUCGGACAUAGCAAGCUGUUAUCCGAGUAGGAUAAAAGAAAUUCUAAAUUAAACAACCUGUGCAAUAAAGGAAGUGUAAACGGUUAACUUUACAGGAAAUGUGUAGGUCACAUGAAGGGAGGUGUUAUUAGGGCUGUAAAAACAAACUUGUAAAUGGCAGAGAAAUAAGCAGUUAGACGCUCAAACCACUCCAUUAAGCUAUAGUUGUUUUGGUGCUUAUAGUGUCCCUUUACUCUCUAUGGGAAUGGUAUGACUUAAAUACAGGGGUUAUUUACUAAACAUUCAGAAUUCAAUCUGAAUUUAAAAUUUUAGUUCGAAGUAGUUAAACUGAUAACAUAACGGACUUUAUUUGGAAUUGACAACAAUUCAAACUUUAGUAAAUAUCUGCAUUUAUUGUGUAAAAUGUUUAAAUUACUGACAAUUCACGACAAUAAUGUUGGAGCAGAAAAAAAACCAACACGGUUUAUGUUUGAUAUGUUUAACUCCAUUUUAAUAAAACAAACUGCUGAACAGGUUUAACACUUAAGAAUACAAGAUGUAGGCAGUUUUAAAGUGCUAUCUGAUGGGGCAAAAGAAAUAUCGGAUAACAAACACUUUCUAUAACAUUCUUUUUAUGACACAAAUUUAAUUAAAAAAAAACAAAAAACCCUACAAUUUUGCCUAAACAAAUGGAACUGCAGUACUAACAAAAAGAAAAAAUGCACAAGCAAGGGUUUCCUUACGACCUUGAGAUGAUGACAGUGCGAGUUAGCAGAUGUCUUCUUUUGCGCGGUUAGCACCGUUUUCCAACUCUGGUGCUUGAUAUGAUGAUGGGCUACAAUAUACACAAUUCUCUGCCAGUCGUUAGGAAAUGAUGGAAAAUGCAAUCCAACAACCGCUUAAUGGCAAUGGAAUUACAACUGGAAAAACACUUGUAAAAUAUCUGUAUCACUUCCCUUUGGUAUUUUAUAACUUUCAUACCACUAUUUUGAGAAUAAUUGGUUGAUUCUAUCUAAAUUAAUCUCUUGUAGUUAAAGGUGCAGAACGUUAACAAGCUGGGUGUUAACUGGCCAAACAUGAGUUGAAUUCAAGAACUGAUGCUACCGCUUGAUAACUGUCCCAUGGAGUGUAUAUCCUUCCAUUACUCUAUAGCCCCAUGUCUAAUUUCUGCUAUUGUUGCCUCUUCCCCUACAUAGAAGCAAGGCACCAUGUUAAUAUGCUGUAUAGGUUGUGUGGUAAUUCCCUUAUUCUAUCCUAUUGCAAAUGGCAGUACAUGGCUUGUUAGAAAUAAGUUUAAUUGGGAGAGUCGAUCCAUUGAAAGUAAAAUCUGGACACAUUUUGAGCUAUGUAAAUCGAGUACAACAUUAUUUCAUUAUUCAGAAAUCUGCCAGUCAUCUCAAGGCCAAUUUUUAUGUACUGAAACCUCUCCUACCUAUUCAGAGGAAGCAGUGAUGCUGUGAAUUCUUGCUACAACUUCUCGAAAAGUCCAAUAAAUAAUUUAUCAGAGCUUUCCAGGAACCCACAGUCUGCUUUCCAUGAAAAGGAAGCAAAUCGGAAUGUCUUUAUUGUUUUUUCUAAAUGAAAUAUUGCUUGGCCCCCAUUUAACCCGUUUGUAUCAGGCAUGUUCAUAUGGUGCUGGACACACUCUGACACGAGUUAAAACUUCCUGCUGUGUUAGUGAUUUCCAGUAACUUGUAUUCAUGCAUUGUUGGGAAAGAAACCAAGAACGGAAGAGUUAAUAGCUCUCAUCAUAUAUUCUCUGAGCCGGGGCAAGAUGUGAAUGCAUCAUUUCACAGAUUGUAAGCUUGCUUGAGCAGGGCUUUCUUUAUCUCUUGUCUCUGUUAUAUUCCAGAUGUAAAAUAUCCCUACUCUAUCAUUUUAAAGCAACGUGGAAUACGUUGGCUCUAUAUAAAAGAUGAUGAUAAAGGAACAUUAUAAGCAUUAGAAACGUGUAUUCCUAACACUAUAGUGCCCUGUUAAAUGUAUAAAUCCUAAACCCCCUUGAUAGACAUUAAAAUGAGGUUAACCCACAUUUCUACUAUGCUGUCCCGGUGCCCAAAAGGUAGAUCCCUAGAUUUUUUUAAACUACAGGUAAAGGCAUGCAAAGCUUAAUGGGAAUUGUAGUUUUACAACAUCUGAGGAUCUACCUUUUAGGCAUCCCUGAUCUAGACUAAUGAUCUGAACUGGUCCAAUGCUUUCCUUUAGGCUAGUGAGCAUUUGCUGCAAAAUGCCACGUUGUGCUGAUCAGACGGGUUCUAUGAGACCAUCGAAUUGAAAUAGCUGAGUUUACUCUGCUAUUUUGUAAGAAGUGCCUCUAGCAGCAGUCUGAGUGACAGACACUAGAAGCGUUUAAGCCUUGAAGUGUACUUAUCUGUGUUCUGCAGAAUGGCAAUGUUUUAUACUAGAGGGACAUGGCAUCCAGAACCCUUCAUUAACAUGAAGUGGCCUGGGUGCCUAUACUGUCCCUUUAAUUCACAUACAUUAUAGGUCAGUUAUAGAUACAUUUCCCAUAAUUCUCAGCCUAUAGCUGGGUAUUAAGCAUCAUGGGAAAUAUAGUUCACAGACCUCAGUAUGGCCAAGAUUAGAUAAAAAAAGGUACAGAGAGGGAAAUACAUUUUUAUGUAGUCAGAUAUUUAUAACAUUUAAGGAAUCCAUUAAAGUAACACAUACAUUGGAGUAAAAUGUAUUGCUGAAAUAGAAUUAACAAUUUAAUGGGGAUUAUGUAUAAAUAUCUGAGUUUUAGAACACUCUGCAUGAUUCACCUGGUCAGAUUAUCCCUGGAUAUAGCUACAUGGUAUGCAUAUAGAUGUGUAAACUGGCUCUCUGCCAAGAAAAACAAUUUUUUAAAUUUUCAUACAAUGCUAAGAAUGCACGUAAGGGGAACGUAGUGCAAUAAAUUCAUCUUGUUCGCCUAUUUUUAUACACCUGCAAUGCAACUCCUAAACAAUAAUUAGACCACUUGUCACUCUUGGCUCAGCUGGGACACUGCAAUAUAUUUCGAGGAUGCAAUCUUUCUAUAGAAAACAUUCAGAUGCUAACUGUCACAAUUUUGCUACAUUCGGUCUCACAAAGCCUAUAUAUAUAUAUUACAAUACAUUAUCGGACUCAAUAAACGAAAGGUCAUCGCUUUGUACAACCUUGUUUGUAGUACUACCAUCUAUUACCGAUCUCUAACCCAAACUAUUCACAUUUCUUUCAUUAUUACUACCUACUGCCACAGGAGCAGACGGCAGCUGGCAUUUGUAAAGUGAUCAAGUAAACAUAGAUUUCUGGUGUAAAAUAAAUCCUCCGGAUUGCCAGAUUGGGAAGUGGAAUUCCUUUGCUAUAGAUUUACUGAAGUAUUACCCAGGUUAAUCGCUCAUGUAAGACAUGACAAUGUCUGUGUGCGCAGAUACUGCCAGUCCCAGUCCCCCCCCCCCCUCUGAUGUUGAUUACUGCUUGCUGGCUUUCUGUGCACCAUGGGGGUUUAGGACUGGUGUGCUAUAAAUACUAGCAGGAUUGGGGAAAUGAAUAUCAAAAUUCAAGGCCAAAUAAAAGGAUAACAAUUCUCCAAGCUAUGGUCCCCAUUUUUAUUUCUUUGGCCUUAAAUUUGAAAUUCACUUUCAAUUACCUAAUUUUACUAAGCCUGUAUUUAACUCAAAAAUUACUAAUAACUUUUUUUUCUAAGUGAACACUGCCUACAUGACAAAUAUUUUCAUUUUCAAUCAAUAAUUCAGAUGUAAGUGAACAUAAUACUGCGUCGAAGUGCUGUGUGUGUAGUUAUCGUUUUUAUACCUUUAAUUUAUAAUUUAACAUUCUAGAUAAAGGAUGGAGAUAUAACAGUACGAUACAUUAUGGGAUUUAUUGAAUAAUCGGAUUCCUUAUAAUCAUCCUUCGUAAGAGCUGAUAGUACAGGUGCCUUUGCAGUUUCACCUUGACGUUACCAUCAAGUGUGAGUUUAAAUCUGAAAGCAACAAAUUCAGCUAAAAUUGCCACGCUGUGAUAUCAGAGUAGGAGAAUUUCACCAAAUAAGCAAUUUUUGCCCAAAUGCUUCCAUUCAGAUUUAUAUUGAAAGUUCUGAGUGUGGUGAAUAACCCUGUAUGAAUUAAAUGGUUACUCCAAAAAUGUUUUAAAUAAUACUUUGUUGUUUUUUAAAUAUUGUCCACCUUUUUAUAAUAAAUUUCUAAUACUUUUUAUCAACCUAUAACUACUGGAGUCUUUGCCUUAUAUUUAUUCUAUUGGAGUGGAAAUGGAGGUUUAAGCCACCCAUCUACAUCGGGGUAGGCACCUUUGGGCGCAUUAUACGUCUUUAUCCUGUGAGUGUAUAUUAUUUUGGCGCACUUACAUUUGCACAUUACUGUGUUACACUAUGUGUUAUUUUUUUAUGUUCCAUAUUUUAGAUUCUGUUCAGCCGUAUCCCACACAUCUUUUGUUUUGUCUAUAUCUGCUGUAUUAAGGUCGUUUUGGGUUGCGAUCUUGGGAGGCUGCCUGUCUUAUGUAUAGAUAAGUAUAUUUUAUUCUUAAGUUACUUCACACAUUACACAGUGGUGGUGGUGUUUGUUUUUUCCCUAGAAGCUAACUGUCUGUCACCUGUUAAGUGGCUAACACAGACAUCAUAAAGACUUGGAUUUAUUUACUGAAGCCAGAAAUUGUGUAGAAUUUACAAGGAACUGGGGAAGUAAUCGCUGAAUGUUAUUUUUAUAGCUUCUCCUUUUUUUGGUUAAAAUUUGCAUUUCUCUUCAAUUCUCUACAACUCUCAAUUGAGCAAAUAAUUAGCUAUGUCAGUGGAGAGAAUAAAUAUACAGAAAAACAAAACAGCAGAACACACAAUUCCAGAAAGAUUCUAAUACAGUGGUUUUCAACAGUGUCCUGUAAGCCACCUCAAAGUGAGCCAUGGACACACUAAGGUCUGUAUACUGUCUAACUUCACAGCAGCAGUCAAAUGGAAUUUGGUUGUUCAGAUUUGACGUUUUAAAACUUUUUACUAUGUGAAAUCGACUUUGCUAUUCACAGAGAUGUGGGCUGGUGUGCCCAGG
rnacentral:lncRNA from 1 species